CGAUGCAGAGUGUAUCAGGAUUUCUCUCCAUGGCCUGGUCCUUCCUGGUCCUCCUCUUGUUCCUCACUUAUCCUUCAGGUAAUAUAAUCAGCUAAACCCUUGAGAGCAGCUCUGUGAUGAGCCCCACCAGGGUCCCAAAGCUUUUACUGAGGUUUUUCUACGGUUUUUAUACAAUUAUUUCUUUUUGGGAUUUCUAUCUCCUUGCAGGUUCCUCCUCCCAGCCAGUGCUGACUCAGAGGCCCUCAGCAUCCUUUUCCUCAGGUGAGACAGUCCGUCUCUCCUGCACCUUGAAUGCUGGAUACAGUAUCAGCAGCUAUAGGGUCAGGUGGUACCAGCAGAUAUCAGGUGGUGCCCCACGGUUUGUAUACCACUACUAUAAACCUAGUGAUCAGGGCAGAGGCACCGAGGUCCCAGAGAGAUUCAGUGUCUCCCCUGAUUCCUCCAGCAACCUCUGGAAUUUAGUGAUCACAGGCGCUCAAGCUGAGGAUGAGGCUGAUUAUUACUGUUGCACAUGGGAUGGCAGCAUGUUC